CCAACAGGGAUUGCCUUAGUAACGGCGAGUGAAGCGGCAAAAGCUCAAAUUUGAAAUCUAACGCCUCUGGUGUUCGAGUUGUAAUUUGGAGAGGCAUCUUCCGGAGUGGCCCAGCCUAUGCACCUUGGAACAGGACGUCAUAGAGGGUGAGAAUCCCGUUCUUGGCUGGAUGUUCACUCCCGUAUGUAGUGUCUUCUACGAGUCGAGUUGUUUGGGAAUGCAGCUCAAAAUGGGUGGUAAAUUUCAUCUAAAGCUAAAUAUUGGCGAGAGACCGAUAGCGCACAAGUAGAGUGAUCGAAAGAUGAAAAGCACUUUGAAAAUAGAGUCAAACAGUACGUGAAAUUGUUGAAAGGGAAGCGCUUGAGAUCAGAGUCAGCCUUUGGCAAACAACUGUCCUUUUGGGCGGUGCACUUGUCAUUGGUUGGGCCAGCAUCGGUUGGGACGGUGGGAUAAAGGCUUGGGAAAUGUGACUCCUUUAUGGAGUGUUAUAGUCCCAGGUGGCAU
rnacentral:rRNA from 1 species